rnacentral:rRNA from 1 species
AUGCAGUCGAACGGAGCACCCUUGACUGAGGUUUCGGCCAAAUGAUAGGAAUGCUUAGUGGCGGCCUGGUGAGUAACGCGUGAGGAACCUGCCUUUCAGAGGGGGACAACAGUUGGAAACGACUGCUAAUACCGCAUGAUGCGUAACUGGGACAUCCCGGAUACGCCAAAGAUUUUAUCGCUGAAAGAUGGCCUCGCGUCUGAUUAGAUAGUUGGCGGGGUAACGGCCCACCAAGUCGACGAUCAGUAGCCGGACUGAGAGGUUGACCGGCCACAUUGGGACUGAGAUACGGCCCAGACUCCUACGGGAGGCAGCAGUGGGGAAUAUUGGGCUAUGGGCGCAAGCCUGACCCAGCAACGCCGCGUGAAGGAAGAAGGCUUUCGGGUUGUAAACUUCUUUUAAGUGGGAAGAGUAGAAGACGGUACCACUUGAAUAAGCCACGGCUAACUACGUGCCAGCAGCCGCGGUAAUACGUAGGUGGCAAGCGUUGUCCGGAUUUACUGGGUGUAAAGGGCGUGCAGCCGGGCAUGCAAGUCAGAUGUGAAAUCUCAGGGCUUAACCCUGAAACUGCAUUUGAAACUGUAUGUCUUGAGUGCCGGAGAGGUAAUCGGAAUUCCUUGUGUAGCGGUGAAAUGCGUAGAUCUAA